rnacentral:rRNA from 1 species
GCGGCGUGCCUAACACAUGCAAGUCGAACGGCAGCGCGGGGCAACCUGGCGGCGAGCGGCGAACGGGCGAGUAAUACAUCGGAACGUACCCAGAAGUGGGGGAUAACGUAGCGAAAGUUACGCUAAUACCGCAUACGUUCUACGGAAGAAAGUGGGGGACCUUCGGGCCUCAUGCUUUUGGAGCGGCCGAUGUCUGAUUAGCUAGUUGGNNNNGUAAAGGCUCACCAAGGCGACGAUCAGUAGCUAGUCUGAGAGGACGACCAGCCACACUGGGACUGAGACACGGCCCAGACUCCUACGGGAGGCAGCAGUGGGGAAUUUUGGACAAUGGGCGCAAGCCUGAUCCAGCAAUGCCGCGUGAGUGAAGAAGGCCUNCNNGUUGUAAAGCUCUUUUGUCAGGGAAGAAACGGCUGGGGCUAAUAUCCCCGGCUAAUGACGGUACUUGAAGAAUAAGCACCGGCUAACUACGUGCCAGCAGCCGCGGUAAUACGUAGGGUGCAAGCGUUAAUCGGAAUUACUGGGCGUAAAGCGUGCGCAGGCGGUUUUGUAAGUCUGACGUGAAAUCCCCGGGCUUAACCUGGGAACUGCAUUGGUGACUGCAAGGCUUGAGUAUGGCAGAGGGGGGUAGAAUUCCACGUGUAGCAGUGAAAUGCGUAGAGAUGUGGAGGAAUACCGAUGGCGAACGCAGCCCCCUGGGUCAAUACUGACGCU